rnacentral:lncRNA from 1 species
GCAAUAGUAUCCAUAUAUCAUUGUCGCAUAUCUCUAGGUCCACCUCUAAAAGAAGCUGAAAGGAAUUUUUGCUUACCAAUGUUAGAAAAAUCUCGUUCUCCAAGUCUUAAAAUAUCUAGAAGUCCUUGCAAUAUAUGCAUUCUAAAUAAAUCUUGAUUGAACGAAGCAAAAUCCAGUCUUUGGGUUUCGAUUUUUAUAUAUUCGUCAAUUGAAUAUUGCUGAAAUAGCCUACCAGUGUGUAGCAACUUGUGACGACCCGACCCGUCGUCUCAUGAGUUACCGCUCUGUUUUUCCUAUUUUCAGCUUCUUUAUGCUUCAUUUUACGUAUCUUGUUUAAUAGAGUUGAGUUGGAGUGGUUUUGAUAAGAAAUGAGACACUUAGUCUCUUUUAAGAAGGCUUAAGUUGGAAAAGUCAACCAGACAUUGACUUAUAAGUUAGAGGGCUCGGAUGUGAAUUCUGAUGGUUCGGUUAGCUCUGGGAGAUGAUUUGAGACUUAGGAGCGUGAUCGAAAUUUAUUUUGGAGGCCCGGUGUAGAAUUAGGCUUGAAUUGGCGAAGUUAGUAGUUUGACGAUUUCUGGUUGAUAGGUGAGAUUUUGAUCCAGGAGUCAGAAUGGAAUUUUGAGAGUUGUUGUAGCUUCAUUAUAUGAUUUAGGAUAUGCGUGCAAAAUUUCAGGUUAUUCGGACGUGGUUUAGUUGAGGUUUUUUUAUCAAAAGCGUGUUUCGGAAGUUUUAGAAGAACUUAGGCUUGAAUUUGAGGUAAUUUGAUGGUUUUGGUGUUGUUGAGGUGUUUUGAUGAUUGGAACGAGGUUGAAUAAUGUUUUAGGAUGCGUUGGUGUUUUUGGUUGAGGUCCCAGGGGCCUCGGGUGUGUUUCGGGUGAGUUUUGAGCGAGUACGGACAUCCUAAAACUUAGAAAAUGGAUGGGGCAGUCAUUUGUGCACGGGGCGCGGUGGCCUAGCGCGGGGCGCGGUCAAGUGACGCGGCCCGCAUUCAUGAAGAUCCGUAGAUCGUCGGUCCAACUUCGGAAGCUCAUAUCUUUUGAUCUACAAGGNNNNNNNNNNNNNNNNNNNNNNNNNGGACAUCUGCAGCAAAAGUUAUGGCCAAAAUACUAAAGCCUGUCACUGCAGAGGAAGGCAUGUGCGGCCGUGGUUGUGUUUUCGCGGACCUCACUGGCUUGCGCGGUCCGCGAUCGUUUUGGUGCGGCUCGCGGUAGCUGAAAUCUGAGGGGGUACCUAUAAAUACGAGGUUUUGGGUUUUAUUUAAUAUUUUGACCUAGAGAGCUCGGAUUUUGGCAAUUUUUCGAAGGUUUUUCAAGAAAUUCAUCAGGGUAAGUGAUUUUAACUCAGAUUUGGCUAGUAUACAUGAAUCUAUCACUGAAUUCAUCAUUUAAUUCGUGAAUUGGGAUGGAAUUUGGGAAGAAAAUUGUGAAACCUUUCAAUGAUGAUUUGAAGGACCAAAUGAUAUCGGAAUUGGAUAAUUUUGGUAUGGUUAGACUUGUGAGGGUAUGAAGAUUCUGAAAAUGUAAAUUUUACCCGAUUCCGAGACAUGAGCCCGAGGCUCGGGUUUUGCUAAUUUCGAGAUUUUUGAUAUUUUUCGAAUGUUUUCGCUUGGGCUAUGUUCCCUUAGCAUAUUGUGACCUAUUUGUUCUGAUUUUAAAUAGAUUUGAUGCGCGUGGAGGCCAAUUUGAGAGGCAAGAGCAUAGCGAGCUAGAGUUUUGGCCAGUUCGAGGUGAGUAAUGAUUUUAAAUGAUGUCCUGAGGGUUUGAAACUCCGGAUUUGCACAACGUAGUGCUAUACUAAGUUGAUAUACACGCUAUGUGACGAGCGUGAGGUUCAAUAAUACGGGGAUUGUAACUUGGUCCAUCCCGAAAGAUAUUUUACUACAUUUUUGAUUGAGACAUAUACGUUAUUAUUGUGAAUUGGGCUAGUUGCCAUGCUUGGGGCCUUGUGCCGACCUGUAGAACCCUUAGGGAAUUUUUGACUUGUUUUCCUCACUUGUUUUGUUAAAGAAUUUAUAUCCUCAGUCAUGUUUCCAAUUGUUUAAGAAUGAUAUGAACCAGAUUUUUGAAAUGUUAAUCAUAAAUAGGAAGAGAUAUGAGGGCUGAGAUCCCGUCCGUACAUUAUGCCCGAGAGGCUGUGUUUUUUAAAUGACUGAGAGGGGUCGAGGACCCAAUAGUGAGGAUAUUUUACAUAUUAUGGAUCGGGCUGCACGCCGCAACAAUUACAUAUUAUGGAUCGGGCUGCACGCCGCAACAGAUAUAUAUUACACAUAUUAUGGAUCGGGCUGCAAGCCGCAGCAAUUACAUAUUAUGGAUCGGGCUGCACGCCGCAGCAAUUACUUAUAUGGAUCGGGAUGCACGCCGCAAUAAUUAUAUAGCACUUGGGCUGAAGGAGCCUCUCCGGAGUCUGCACACCCCCAGUGAGCGUAGUCGACUAUUAUUAUUAUGGAUCGAGUUGUACGUCACAAUGAUAUGCGGAUGGGGCUGCACGCCGCAGCGGUAUAUAUAUAUAUAUAUUUAUUGAUUCGGUUACAUGAGAAGUAUAUGAAUUGAGAACUGAGGAUAAGAACGAAUAAAUGAACUGAAAUGCUUGAGGAGCUGAUUUAUACUGAUUAUAUAUGUUUUACCUGGUUUAAAGAAUUUCUCAUGAUUUCCUCAUUCACUGCUGCUUAAACGAUUCUACUGUUUUGGUAUAGAACUGCUUAGUGCCUUUACGUGAUUUCAUACUGUCAUCUAUUAUUUAUUGUUAUUACUCACUGGGUCAGAGUACUCACAUUACUCCCUGCACCAUGUGUGCAGGUACAGGUAUUCCUGAGGCAUAGAUCGAGCUUUCCUGUCGUUCUGUUUUCAUCGGAGUUAUCGAGGUAGCUGCAUGGCAUUCGCAGACCCCAUUUCUCCUUCUAUCUCCACUUAUUAUUCCGGAUUUUAUACAUAUUUCUGUAUUAGAUUGUUAAAACCUUGUAUUAGAUGCUCAGACUUGUGACAUCGGAUCAGUGGGCCGUUUUACAGAGAUUUUUUUGUGAUUAUGGUUUUNNNNNNNNNNNNNNNNNNNNNNNNNNNNNNNNNNNNNNNNNNNNNNNNNNNNNNNNNNNNNNNNNNNNNNNNNNNNNNNNNNNNNNNNNNNNNNNNNNNNNNNNNNNNNNNNNNGGUCGUGACAAGUUGGUAUCAGAGCCUAGGUUACUUGGUCUCGCGAGUCAUGAGCCGGUUUAGUAGAGUCUCGUGGAUCGGUACAGAGACGUCUGUAUUUAUCCUCGAGAGGCUGCAGAACCUUUAGGAAAACUUCACAUUCUUGAAUUCUUAUCGUGCGUCCUUGAUUCAACUUGAAAAGUAACUCUUGAAAUUCCUUCUACGCGUUCGUAUGUGCGCAUGAGCGCUCAGUAUCAGAUAUGCCUUGAUGGCUUGUGAUUCCCUGAUCGAGGGGCGAGAUGUGAUCUCUGUGAGUUUGAUGUUGGGCCAGUCUGGAGGACUUGAGGCCGAAUAUUUGCCUAUGGCUUAAGCACCGAGGUGCUGAUUGUGUGAGCAAGGAUUUUUGCACUUAUAUAUUCGGUAGUCUCCCUAUUAGUAGAAGUUAUGGCUGACAACUAUGUGAUGAGUAUAUUAGUAUUGCGAGAUGUAUCCAUCUUGAUUUGAGGUAUAGCCCCGAGUUAUGGGCGCGUGAAUAAUCUUUUCAUGUCUCCUAUUUGGAGUGAAGUAAGUUUCUUGUUACGGUAUGAGUUUAGACUAAGGAAGAUUAAGUGACUGUGUAAUGUGUAUUACAGUGGAAGGUAUACAAAAUGUUAAUUGGAGGCAAAAAAAGUGGGUUAUCUCCUGCGGAGUGUUCUAAGGUGGUGUGAUCCUUAUGUUGUCUAUUAGAAGAUCUCAUUUACAAGUGAAGAAUAUGCGUUGAAAUCUAAAUUGUGCUGCCUAGAGAGUGGGCUUAACUAUUGUGUGAGUAAAUGCAAGAAUUGCAGAAGAGUUAAAAUUCCAGAUGAUUUGUGUUUCUACAAGCUUAUGAAGGAGUGAGUUCAAUCUCACUAUGGUAUUACGGCAACAAUAGAGUAUGUGUGUUUUGAUUUAUUGAGUGCGUUUUGUUAUAUGGCUUUGAUCCAAGUUGGGGAGUUUGCUAUUAAUUAAGUUGAUUGCACGGUUAAGAGCUAUAUUAUUCCAGUCUGCCACAGAGAUGCCUCGGUAUUAUUCGAUCUCGGUUCCACCUAUUUUUAUGUGUCCUCAUAUUUUUCUCAUUAUUUGGGUACGCCCCGAGAGUUUCUUUCUUUACCUAUUCAUGUAUCUACCCCGGUGGGAGAUACUGUUGUUGUGAACCGUGUGUACCGGUCAUGUGUUGUGAUUAUUGGGGGUCUGGAGACCCGAGUUGAUUUAUUGCUAUUGAGCAUGAUGGACUUUGAUGUUAUUCUGGGCAUGGAUUGGCUAUCUCCAUGUCGUGCUAUUCUAGACUGUCAUGCUAAGACAGUCACUUUGGCUAUUCUAGGUGUUCCAAGGAUCGAGUGGCGUGGUAUGACUGAUUAUGUUCCUAGCAGAGUAAUUUCUUUCUUGAAAGCCCAACGUAUGGUUGGGAAGGGUUGUCUAUCAUAUCUAGCUUUUGUGCGAGAUAUUGGAGCUGAGACUCCUAGUAUUGAUUCUGUCCCAGUUGUGAGGGAUUUUUCCUGAUGCAUUUCCUGCAGACCUGCCGGGCAUGCUGCCGGAUAGGGAUAUUGAUUUUGGCGUUGACCUGGUGCCGGGCUCUCAGUCUAUUUCUAUUCUGCCGUAUCGUAUGACACCUGCAGAGUUGAGAAAAUUGAAAGAGCAGUUUCAGGAACUCCUAGAUAAGGGGGUUCAUUUGGCCUAGUGUGUCACCUUGGGGUGCACCAGCCUUAUUUGUGAAAAAGAAGGAUGGCACAAUGAGAAUGUGCAUUGAUUACAUGCAAUUGAAUAAAGUAAGAGUGAACAAGUAUCCUUUGUCUCGUAUUGAUAGCUUGGUUAUGUGCGAAUAGAUUUGAAAGUUUUCUUAAUGGUUUUUACCAUGGUCCGAGCCGGAUAUCUCCUACCGGUGCGCGGAUCAUAUUGUACAUUAUGAACUCCUCCUAUAUGGGAGAAAAUAGAAGAUUUCUAACUGCCGAAAUGUAAUUCUACUAUAGCCCAAAAAUUCUAAUGAGAUUUUGUAUUUGCAACAAGAUGGCAUGAUAGACGUGGUGUAUGGUACAUGCUUAAUAUUUUGAUGUGCAAGGUGGCAGUUCAUUCUUAAAGGGAAAGUCAUGAAUUAUGGGUAGAAUAGUCAGUUUCAAAUAUUUAGAUUGAAUGUUAUAACUGCUCGGUAAGGCCUGAGAAGGGUGCACAUUAUAUUCUGAUUAACAGAUGUCUAUUGACGUUUCAAUGCUCACUUGGUUGAUCGACUACCAAUAUUUCGAUCUUGUUAUGUAUUGUAGAAAUUUUUUUGAAAAUAAUUAUCUUGGGAUGGUCGUACUUGAGGGAUGUGUCAGUCAUUUGGGUGCUGAGGUCGUGAUCAGUUACGGUGAUUUAUGCGAUCUAUGAAUUUGGAAACGGAGAAUUCUAAAAAAUAUACAAUUUCGGGAUUGUAGCAUGUUGAGGGGAGUAUUUUAGCUAACUCAUUGGAUGCACUAGUCGAGCUAAUUGAUGGUGAUAACUAUACGCUGUGAGCACGAAUGUAUGUGAGGUUUGAACCUGUGUGCAAGCACUGAGCUAAUAUUCAUGCUCGGAAGAUACGUAGGCUAUGAUAUGCCUAGAGUGGGAUAUUGGGCUUAAAGGUAUAAUGUUUCUCGUAUUCGUAACUUUGUUAAGAACUAUCUGGACUAUACUUGAGAUUUCCAAGAUCCUAAAUUCCAAAACAAACUGGGUAAUUACUAAUUCUGUGUUAACUUGCUGAUUUGAGCUAUGACAGCGCAAUUUGCUCAUACCUACGAUAUAGAGUGUUAUUUAUUCCAGUAAAGGAGAAUGAGAAUCUUGUUUCAGUUAGCAUAUACAUGUGUACUUGUUGGAUUGCUUCUAUAUGAUAUGCUUGGACUGGAGGUCUGUGACCGUGCCAGGUGGAUUAUGUUAUUGGAAAUUAAGUUGCUCGUGAAGUUGAUGUCAAUGUGAGCUAUAGAAGAGCCGGUUAUUAUUAUUCUAUUCAUAUAUCUGGGUUCCACUGUGAUUGACGAGCCCAUAGCAUAUCGUUGGGGUGGUACUUGUGGAACUUGCAAAGCGGCUCUCUUCUUUGAGGUAUUUUCCCUUUCUAGGGCAACCAGAUGGUGAAAUAGUGAGGUUUACUGGUAUGGCAUUGUAUUAUGUACUUUCCCGUGGGCAUGAUGAUUCGCUUGUGGUACUAGACAUCAAAUUGCGCUUGGUUGAUGGUUUUGAGCAUGAUGACUUGGGGUGUCUCAGGUGAACUAGUGUCUAAAUACCUCGCGAUUAGGUUCGGGUGCUCUGUUUCUAUGAUGUGAGACGGAUUCUCAGCCUUGUGUUAUGGUGGUACUAGUGAGCUUGUGGUACAACUCUUUGAUUUGAGUCAUUUUCAUGAAUUUAGUAUACUCGGACUAUUGAUUAUUGGCGCGCAUACUGUGCGAGUUGUGGCUUAGGUAUGUAUUGAUGUGUCAUGUCACCAGAGUAGUGUGUUGGAUUAGAAGAGAUCAGAGGGAUCACUAAUGAAUACAAACGGAUUCAAUUUCGGUAUGUUGGAAGGGAAAUAUCGAGCUUCGACUCAGAAAUUUGAUGUAGCAUUUGCCAAAGGAGAAAGGGCUUCAUGAAUGGUUGACAUAAGAAACGGGUAUGGCUUACAAUGUGUUUUAUUUACCCUUUGCAGUAUAUGAAGAUGUUAGGAUGAGACCUUAGUUGAUAAGAGGUUUUCUAUCGGUAUUCGGUUGUUGUGUGCAACUGCUAUGAUUAGGAGUUAUUGCUGCAAGCAUUUGAGUCAUGUGUUAUGUUAUGUAAUUGCACCCGAGGUUGCAGGUAUGGGUUGUUACAACUUGUUCGGGCUUAUUCACAGUAUAAAUGUGGGAUUCUGAUCAUAUGAAGGAUUUCAAAAGUGAAAAUGUGGUCGUAUGGUUUGUGGGCUAGAUUGGAUUGCAAAAAUUUCAGUUACAAUGUGUUGUCGGACCUAUAUGAGAUAGGGUGACGUGGGAUCACCCCCGGGUUUAUGCGUGGUAAGGUUAUUCAGCGAUUGUUUGGCUUUUGAAACAACUCUGGGCACGUUCGAGGACAAACGUUUGUUUAAGUUGGGGAGGAUGUGACGACCCGACCCGUCGUCUCAUGAGUUACCGCUCCGUUUUUCCUAUUUUCAGCUUCUUUAUGUUUCAUUGUCCGUAUCUUGUGUAAUAGAGUUGAGUUGGAAUGGUUUUGAUAAGAAAUGAGACACUUAGUCUCUUUUAAGAAGGCUUAAGUUGGAAAAGUCAAUCAGACGUUGACUUAUGAGUUAGAGGGCUUGGAUGUGAAUUCCAAUGGUUCGGUUAGCUCCGGGAGAUGAUUUGAGACUUAGGAGCAUGAUCAGAAUUUAUUUUGGAGGCCCAGUGUAGAAUUAGGCUUGAAUUGGCGAAGUAGUAGUUUGACGAUUUCCGGUUGAUAGGUGAGAUUUUGAUCCGGAGUCGGAAUGGAAUUCCGAGAGUUGCUGUAGCUUUAUUAUGUGAUUUAGGAUAUGCGUGCAAAAUUUCAAGUAUUCGGACGUGGUUUAGUUGGGUUUUUUUUAUCAAAAUCAUGUUUCAAAAGUUUUAGAAGAACUUAGGCUUGAAUUUGAGGUAGUUUGAUGGUUUUGGUGUUGUUGAGGUGUUGUUGAUGAUUGGAACGAGGUUGAAUAAUGUUUUAGGAUGCGUUGGUGUUUUUGGUUGAGGUCCCGGGGGCCUCGGAUGUGUUUCGGGUGAGUAUUGAGCGAGUACGGACAUCCCGAAACUUAGAUGGGGCAGUCAUUUGUGCGCGGGGCGAGUGAUGUGGCCCGCGGUCAUGAAGAUCCGCAGAUCAUCGGUCCAACUUCGUAAGCUCAUAUCUUUUGAUCUACAAGGAAUUGUGAGGUGAUAUAAAAAUGAAAGUUGUAGCCCUUCGUGUCUAGUUUCCAGAAAGGUAAAGAUAUCUCAAUUUGGACAUCAGUAGCAAAAUUUAUGGCUAAAAUACUAAAGCGUGUCACUGCAGAGGAAGACCUGUGCGGCCGCGGUUGUGUUUGCGUGGACCACAUUGGCUUGCGCGAACCGCGGUCGGUUUGGUGCGGCCCGUGGUAGCUGAAAUCUGAGGG